rnacentral:rRNA from 1 species
UGGGGAAUCUUGGACAAUGGGGGCAACCCUGAUCCAGCCAUGCCGCGUGAGUGAUGAAGGCCUUAGGGUCGUAAAGCUCUUUCGCCUGUGAAGAUAAUGACGGUAGCAGGUAAAGAAACCCCGGCUAACUCCGUGCCAGCAGCCGCGGUAAUACGGAGGGGGUUAGCGUUGUUCGGAAUUACUGGGCGUAAAGCGCACGUAGGCGGACCAGAAAGUUGGGGGUGAAAUCCCGGGGGCUCAACCCCGGAACUGCCUCCAAAACUAUUGGUCUAGAGUUCGAGAGAGGUGAGUGGAAUUCCAAGUGUAGAGGUGAAAUUCGUAGAUAUUUGGAGGAACACCAGUGGCGAAGGCGGCUCACUGGCUCGAUACUGACGCUGAGGUGCGAAAGUGUGGGGAGCAAACAGGAGUUAGAU